UACAGAGGUCUCAAGCGUUUGUUCGGAUUCAUUGGGCGUAAAGGGUGCGUAGGCGGCGCGGUAAGUCGGGUGUGAAAUUUCGAGGCUUAACUUCGAAACUGCAUUCGAUACUGCCGUGCUAGAGGACUGGAGAGGAGACUGGAAUUUACGGUGUAGCGGUGAAAUGCGUAGAUAUCGUAAGGAAGACCAGUGGCGAAGGCGGGUCUCUGGACAGUUCCUGACGCUGAGGCACGAAGGCCAGGGGAGCAAACGGG
rnacentral:rRNA from 1 species